rnacentral:rRNA from 1 species
AGAAUGAACGCUGGCGGCGUGCUUAACACAUGCAAGUCGCACGAGGCGGGGGGGGCAACCCCUCCAGUCGAGUGGCGGACGGGUGAGUAACACGUGGGUAACCUGCCCGGAUGUGGGGAAUACCUCGGGGAAACUCGAGCUAAUACCGCAUGACAUCUUCGGGACGAAAGUCCUGACGAUCAAAGCGGGGUCGCAAGAUCUCGCGCUUCCGGAUGGGCCCGCGCCCGAUUAGCUAGUUGGCGAGGUAACGGCUCACCAAGGCGACGAUCGGUAGCCGGCCUGAGAGGGUGAUCGGCCACACCGGAACUGAGACACGGUCCGGACUCCUACGGGAGGCAGCAGUGGGGAAUCUUGCGCAAUGGGCGAAAGCCUGACGCAGCAACGCCGCGUGGAGGAUGAAGGCCCUUGGGUUGUAAACUCCGUGUCGGCUGGGAAGAAAUCGGUUACGGGUUAAUACCCCCCGGACGUUUGACUUGUACCAGCGAAAGGAACGCCCCGGCUAACUCCUAGUCGCCAGCAAGCCGC